AUUGAACGCUGGCAGCAUGCCUUACACAUGCAAGUCGAACGGUAACAGGUCUUCGGAUGCUGACGAGUGGCGAACGGGUGAGUAAUACAUCGGAACGUGCCCGAGAGUGGGGGAUAACGAAGCGAAAGCUUUGCUAAUACCGCAUACGAUCUCAGGAUGAAAGCAGGGGACCGCAAGGCCUUGCGCUCACGGAGCGGCCGAUGGCAGAUUAGGUAGUUGGUGGGAUAAAAGCUUACCAAGCCGACGAUCCGUAGCUGGUCUGAGAGGACGACCGGCCGCACUGGGACUGAGACACGGCCCAGACUCCUACGGGAGGCAGCAGUGGGGAAUUUUGGACAAUGGGCGCAAGCCUGAUCCAGCCAUGCCGCGUGCAGGAUGAAGGCCUUCGGGUUGUAAACUGCUUUUGUACGGAACGAAAAGACUCCUUCUAAUAAAGGGGGUCCAUGACGGUACCGUAAGAAUAAGCACCGGCUAACUACGUGCCAGCCGCCGCCGUAACAC
rnacentral:rRNA from 1 species